AUGGCACAUUUAGCUCGCAUUUUUUUGUUCUACGUACUAGUACUUUUGUCUCAUGAACUACUCACUACCACCGAGGGAAGAACUUUGAGACAAAGCAUUCAUCCACCACACACUGAGUCUACCAAAAUAAUGAACACUGCAACAAGCACAAGAGAAUUUGCAGUUGCAAAACCAAGUCACCCAAGCAAAAGAUUUUUGGAAGGAGAUGUUGAAGCUUUUAGGCCCACAAAUCCAGGACACAGUCCUGGUGUUGGUCAUUCCAUUAAUACUUAA